AAAAAGGGCCAUGUCUGAUCGCUUAAUCGGGGUAGUGCAUUAAGGAGCUCAUUGGGCAUCUGGGAGCACCUGCUCUUAUUAUUUGGGCAAAUAGAUUCUACCAGGUGGAAUAAGGGCCCCAUGUGGUUGGUCAUUAGUUACUGAGCAUGCGAUUGGUUUUAGGAUUGGUAUCUACUGGACAUCGCGUCUGUUAUGGCUACCAGGUAGCUAUGUGCAUUCUCAAAGUAAGCCAAAAGGGUAACUAUUUACAUCAUGAAAUUACACGAAAAGAGUGCGUCAAUGAGCCAAUCGGGCAGCUGGGAGCAUUUGCUCCUGUUAUUUGGACACCUGAAUACCACCAGGUUGAACAAGGGCCCUACGAGUUUUAUAUUAAGCCCCGUACUGAGCUAGAAUUUGGGUUUAGAAUAUGUGUGUGCGAGACAUUGGGUCUGGUAUGGUACUCCGAUAGCUAUGUGCAUACACACUAUAUAAUAAGCCAAAAAGGUAACUAUUUACAGAAGGAAAUUAUAAGAAAAAGGUUGUCUCUAGCUAGGCAAUUGGGGUAGUAACUCUGGGAGCAUUCGCCCCUACUAUUUGGACCUAUAGGAUGAACAAGGGCACCAAGUGUUUGGCAUGGUUGAACAAGGGCACCAAGUGUUUGGCAUUUAGCCCCGAAUGGAGUAUGCCUUUGUGUGCAAGGUGUCUGUGAGACUUCAGGCUAGAAGGGCACCCAGGUAGCUAUGCGCA